CACAUCUCCACGAGCUCCUAGCUCCUAGGUGGAGUACUAAAGGCUACUUCCUCCUGCCCUCAGUCCUGGGAUGACAGCAGCUCUUUGAAGAUGAAGCCAAGUCUACCCCCACCCUCGUGUAAAAGGCAAGAGGACUGCGGCCCACAGAGGACAUGGCAGAGAGCAAAUCUGAGAGCGGUUGAAGACAGGCCACCUCACCGCCGGAGGGAAGCCCGUUCCACCUGCAGGGACCCGAGAGACCCACCUGCUCCCCCGCAGCA